rnacentral:tRNA from 1 species
GCAGUGGUGGGUCAGCGGUAGAACUCUUACCUCCCAUGCAGGAGACCUGGGUUCGAUUCCCAGCAAUGCA